rnacentral:lncRNA from 1 species
AUACACACAAUAGGUAGGUUGAUACAAUAGAGGCCAUCUGGGGCAUGGGAUGAUGGUCGGAGAAAUUUUGACUGCCACCGGAAAAGGAGGGUAUAUUGGAUAGGGACAGAAAUUUUGCCUUGCAACAGGCCACCUACGGACCCCUCAAAGAGUUGUUGCAAGGCUUCUUAACGUGCAAAAAGCGUGGCUCUCUCUUUACACGAGGCAUCGGAUUUAACGUCCCCCUUCGGACCGGACGUGACUGCAAACUUGAUACAUCCCGCACAGCCAAACAGACGCC